rnacentral:rRNA from 1 species
GACGAACGCUGGCGGCGUGCUUAACACAUGCAAGUCGAGCGGUAAGGCCCUUUCGGGGGUACGACGAGCGGCGAACGGGUGAGUAACACGUGGGUGACCUGCCCUCAGCUCUGGGAUAAGCCCGGGAAACUGGGUCUAAUACCGGAUAUGACUCCAUGACGCAUGUUGUGGGGUGGAAAGCCUUGUGCGGCUGAGGAUGGGCCCGCGGCCUAUCAGCUUGUUGGUGGGGGUGAGGCCUACCAAGGCGACGACGGGUAGCCGGCCUGAGAGGGCGACCGGCCACACUGGGACUGAGACACGGCCCAGACUCCUACGGGAGGCAGCAGGUGGGGAAUCUUGCGCAAUGGGCGAAAGCCUGACGCAGCGACGCCGCGUGAGGGAUGAUGGCCUCGG